rnacentral:rRNA from 1 species
GACGAACGUUGGCGGCGUGCUUAAUACAUGCAAGUCAACUGAAGCAGUGGUAGCAAUAUCGCUGUGGAGGUGGCGCACGGGUGAGUAACACGUAGGUAAUCUGCCUUCAGGUCUGGCAUAACUCCGGGAAACCGGGGCUAAUAGCAGAUGAUGCAGCGGCUCGACAUCGAGACAGUUGUUAAAGCUAUGGCGCCUGAAGAUGAGCCUGCGUCUGAUUAGCUAGUUGGCGGGGUAACGGCCCACCAAGGCAACGAUCAGUAGCUGGUAUGAGAGGAUGAUCAGGCACACUGGAACUGAGACACGGCCCAGACUACUACGGGAGGGAGCAGUAAGGAAUAUUGCUCAAUGGGAGAAAUCCUGAAGCAGCAACGGUGCGUGAGGGCCGAAGGGCUUUUGGUUGUAAACCUCUGUAGGGAGAGAAAAAAAUCCCAAUCUUUGGGACAUGAUGGUAUCUCAAAAGUAAGCCCCGGCUAACUACGUG